rnacentral:rRNA from 1 species
UGAGGAAUAUUGGUCAAUGGACGGAAGUCUGAACCAGCCAUGCCGCGUGCAGGAAGAAUGUCCUAUGGAUUGUAAACUGCUUUUAUACGGGAAGAAACGCUUAUUUGCGAAUGAGUUUGACGGUACCGUAAGAAUAAGGAUCGGCUAACUCCGUGCCAGCAGCCGCGGUAAUACGGAGGAUCCGAGCGUUAUCCGGAAUUAUUGGGUUUAAAGGGUUCGUAGGCGGGCUUGUAAGUCAGGGGUGAAAGUUAGCGGCUCAACCGUUAAAUUGCCUUUGAUACUGCUAGUCUUGAAUACUUGUGAAGUAACUAGAAUAUGUGGUGUAGCGGUGAAAUGCAUAGAUAUCACAUGGAAUACCAAUUGCGAAGGCAGGUUACUAACAUUUUAUUGACGCUGAUGAACGAAAGCGUGGGUAGCGAACAGG